GAUGAACGCUGGCGGUAUGCUUAACACAUGCAAGUCGAACGGACUCUUCGGAGUUAGUGGCGGACGGGUGAGUAACGCGUGAGAAUCUGGCUUUGGGUUCGGGACAACCACUGGAAACGGUGGCUAAUACCGGAUGUGCCGAGAGGUAAAAGAGAAAUUGCCUGCAGAUGAGCUCGCGUCUGAUUAGCUAGUUGGUGAGGUAAAGGCUCACCAAGGCAGCGAUCAGUAGCUGGUCUGAGAGGAUGACCAGCCACACUGGGACUGAGACACGGCCCAGACUCCUACGGGAGGCAGCAGUGGGGAAUUUUCCGCAAUGGGCGAAAGCCUGACGGAGCAAUACCGCGUGAGGGAAGAAGGCUCUUGGGUUGUAAACCUCUUUUCUUAGGGAAGAACAAAAUGACGGUACCUAAGGAAUCAGCAUCGGCUAACUCCGUG
rnacentral:rRNA from 1 species